GGCCUCGUAGCUGAGCUGGUAGAGCGUGCGCUGUACAAAAGCGCAGACGGCGUCCAUGAGUGGGUUCAAAUCCCACCGAAGCUA
rnacentral:tRNA from 1 species